CUCUCUCUACCUCUCUCUCUCUACCUCUCUCUCUCUCUCUACCUCUUCAUCCUCCUCUCCCUUCACCCCUCUCUCCCGGUCCCAUUCCUCUCUCCCUAUUCUGACCUAAUCACAGAUCAUUAGUUGCCAUGACAUUGUGAUUGUUUUUAUAUUAAAUGACUGCUAUCAUAGUUAUAUCAGAUUGUUAUCAGCUGGAUGGUGAAGCCACUAUUUUAUGGACCACAUAUUGAUUGCGACCCAAAUGCCACCCUGUUUUCUAUAUAGUGUACUUGUUUGUCACAUGUUCUCUCACCAGAAGAGUGGUUAGGUCCCAAAUGAGACCCUAUUCCUUAUAUAGUGCACUACUGUUGACCAGAGCCCUAUUCCCUAUAUAGUGCACUUCUUUAGACCAGAGCCCUAUUCCCUAUAUAGUGCACUACUGUUGACCAGAGCCCUAUUCUCUAUAUAUAGUACACUACUUUUGACCAGAGCCCUAUUCCCUAUAUAGUACACUGCUUUAGACCAGAGCCCUAUUCUCUAUAUAUAGUACACUACUUUUGACCAGAGCCCUAUUCCCUAUAUAGUACACUACUUUAGACCAGAGCCCUAUUCCCUAUAUAGUACACUGCUUUAGACCAGAGCCCUAUUCUCUAUAUAUAGUACACUACUGUUGACUAGGGCCCUAUUCCCUAUAUAGUACACUACUGUUGACCAGAGCCCUAUGGGGAAUAGGGGGCCAAUUGGGACGCAGUCUGUAUGUGAAACUGGUCAGUUUUUAAAUGUAUGUUUCUGGGGUUCUUAUUGGUAGUCUGAUUCUCUGAUCAUGUCUGUGGUUGUUAUGGUUACCGUCUGGUCCAGUUCAUACAGACUGUUUUGGUUGUUGUUUCUUUGUUCUGUCCGCUGUUUAUCUCUCUCUCGUUUUGUGGUUUAACUGUCUGUGGUCAGGUUCUGACCAAUCAGAUGGCUCUGUGGUCAGGUUCUGACCAAUCAGAUGGCUCUGUGGUCAGGUUCUGGCCAAUCAGAUGGCUCUGUGGUCAGGUUCUGACCAAUCAGAUGGCUCUGUGGUCAGGUUCUGGCCAAUCAGAUGCCUCUGUGGUGGUGUUGUGACUACUGCUGUCUCAGUACUCCUGGAGGACCCCUGGUGUUUCUGAUAGAUUAACUUCCGUCCAGCCCGGGAUUCAAUCAAAGGCGCAUUGUGGAUUAUUAGCACACCAAAUUAGACUGUUCAAUCUAAUGUAGACUUCAGCUGACAUCCGCAGCGUUUACCAUGAAUACCAUCUCCACGAAGGUCAGAGAAAUGACCUGCUUAAAGGUGCAUUGUGGACAGUGCGCCUUUGGUUGAAUCCCAGCCACGGUCUCAUUCAGACCUGGGACACCAAAUCAUGUAUCAAAUACAUGUCCCAAAAUGGCACCCUAUUCCCUACAUAGUGCACUCCUUUUGACCAGAAUAGCACCCUAUUCCCGAUAUAGUGCACUACAUUUGACCAGAGCCCUAAAAGUAGUCACAGUAUAGGAAAUAGGGAGCAAUUUUGGACAUCAUCAGUGCUUCAAUCCCAAAUGGCUCACUAUGUAGUCUACUACCUUUGACCAGAGGCCAUAGGGGAAUAGGAGGCCAUAGGGGAAUAGGAGGCCAUAGGGGAAUAGGAGGCCAUAGGGGAAUAGGAGGCCAUAGGGGAAUAGGAAGCAUUUGGGAGGCCAUAGGGGAAUAGGAGGCCAUAGGGGAAUAGGAGGCAUUUGGGAGGCCAUAGGGGAAUAGGAGGCCAUAGGGGAAUAGGAGGCAUUUGGGAGGCCAUAGGGGAAUAGGAGGCCAUAGGGGAAUAGUAGGCAUUUGGGAGGCCAUAGGGGAAUAGGAGGCCAUAGGGGAAUAGGAGGCCAUAGGGGAAUAGGAGGCCAUUCAGUGUCUGUCAGCCCUCCAGGUCUAGUUUGACCUUACAUCUCCCUGGUUAAAUGGAACUGGAUUCGUCACUCACUGCUUCUCAAUGUUUUAUGGAGUGUAUGUAUAUUAUUAUAUGAUCACAUUUUAAAACAACUGAUGUGUUGACCUCUAAGUACCCUGUGAACUGUUUGUGUUGAGAAAAAAAUUAAAAUAAAUAGAUUUAUGUAAAAUUUGAUGUUUUGUUGUGUGUUUUUUUUUAACAGACCAAAGUUGACACAGUGUUGUUUUAAAUCAUUUAUAUCAUCUGAAUAGAAAAUGUGAUAACUCUCCAGAAAAACUACUUUCACAGACACCUAGACGGUUGAGAAUAAAGUUGUCUGAAC
rnacentral:lncRNA from 1 species